rnacentral:rRNA from 1 species
GACGAACGCUGGCGGCGUGCUUAACACAUGCAAGUCGAACGAAGAGCGAUGGAAGCUUGCUUCUAUCAAUCUUAGUGGCGAACGGGUGAGUAACGCGUAAUCAACCUGCCCUUCAGAGGGGGACAACAGUUGGAAACGACUGCUAAUACCGCAUACGAUCUGACCUCGGCAUCGAGGAUAGAUGAAAGGUGGCCUCUAUUUAUAAGCUAUCACUGAAGGAGGGGAUUGCGUCUGAUUAGCUAGUUGGAGGGGUAACGGCCCACCAAGGCGAUGAUCAGUAGCCGGUCUGAGAGGAUGAACGGCCACAUUGGGACUGAGACACGGCCUAGACUCCUACGGGAGGCAGCAGUGGGGAAUCUUCCGCAAUGGACGAAAGUCUGACGGAGCAACGCCGCGUGAGUGAUGACGGCCUUCGGGUUGUAAAGCUCUGUUAAUCGGGACGAAAGGCCUUCUUGCGAAUAGUUAGAAGGAUUGACGGUACCG